AGAGCCCAGAAUACAGUAGUCGUGCUGUGAAAGGCAUCGAUACUAAACUGCAAAGCUUCGGGCGUCUUGUUGAUUGAUCUUGGUCGCUCGCUGUGCGAGCGCUUUCUCGCCGGUUCGCCGUGUUAACAGAUUGGACAACGUCCACAGGUGUAGAGCUGGCGCUGGGGAGACUAUUAUUCGGGAUUAUUCCUAACUCCACAAGUACAGUAGCGCCUGUCUACCUGAGGAAUCGCGCAAUGAGCUGAUCUGAAGAAGAGCGGAGUAUUGCGUGUAUGAUUUCGAGGAAAUGAUAAACGAAGCCACGCGCAAAACAGGUCGAAAAUGUAGUCACUACUUCUUCUAGUUGCGGCACUUCGGAGGACGCGCUUCUGUUCAUUUCAAAUGGAUUCUAAUUUAGCGGGCUCCCAUAAAAUAUAUAUGAAAAUCCUAAAGGAUGUGGACCAAAGGGGCUCAGAGGUGAGUGAUAGGAAAAGGAGAUGGGAACCGUCGCUGACAUAACGGCUGUAAUAGGGUAGGCUUGUUAUGCCCGUUGUUAAGCACUGAGUUAUUCUUUACAUUUCUUAGUGUUUACUUUCAGAACAGUAUCUUUCAGUUCAAAGAAAAAAACAUACCUGAAUUGAUUUCUGGCACAUCUAUGUUUGCCAGUUACACAAACACAUUUUGAAAAGUGCAUAUAGAGACAGGAUGUUUUUGGAGAUGUGUUUGAGCGAACAGCUGGUGAUAUAAAUCAUUUAUGGAAAAGAUUCAAAAGGCAGUGCUUAUCACAUUAUCUUAGGGUUUGCUGUUU
rnacentral:lncRNA from 1 species